rnacentral:rRNA from 1 species
GUGACAUACCUACUGUUGCUUCGGCGGGAUUGCCCCGGGCGCCUCGUGUGCCCCGGAUCAGGCGCCCGCCUAGGAAACUUAACUCUUGUUUUAUUUUGGAAUCUUCUGAGUAGUUUUUACAAAUAAAUAAAAACUUUCAACAACGGAUCUCUUGGUUCUGGCAUCGAUGAAGAACGCAGCGAAAUGCGAUAAGUAAUGUGAAUUGCAGAAUUCAGUGAAUCAUCGAAUCUUUGAACGCACAUUGCGCCCGCCAGUAUUCUGGCGGGCAUGCCUGUCUGAGCGUCAUUUCAACCCUCAUGCCCCUAGGGCGUGGUGUUGGGGAUCGGCCAAAGCCCGCGAGGGACGGCCGGCCCCUAAAUCUAGUGGCGGACCCGUCGUGGCCUCCUCUGCGAAGUAGUGAUAUUCCGCAUCGGAGAGCGAUGAGCCCCUGCCGUUAAACCCCCAACUUUCUAAGGUUGACCUCAGAUCAGGUAGGAAUACCCGCUGAACUUAAGCAUAU